UACGAAGGGUGCAAGCGUUACUCGGAAUUACUGGGCGUAAAGCGUGCGUAGGCGGUUUGUUAAGUCUGAUGUGAAAUCCCCGGGCUCAACCUGGGACCUGCAUUGGAAACUGGCGAGCUAGAGUACGGUAGAGGGUGGUGGAAUCCCGGUGUAGCAGUGAAAUGCGUAGAGAUCGGGAGGAACACUCGUGGCGAAGGCGGCCACCUGGACCAGUACUGACGCUGAGGCACGAAAGCGUGGGGAGCAAACAGG
rnacentral:rRNA from 1 species